rnacentral:rRNA from 1 species
CUGCUGCCUCCCGUAGGAGUUUGGACCGUGUCUCAGUUCCAAUNUGGGGGACCUUCCCUC